rnacentral:lncRNA from 1 species
AAGAGAAAAAUGAUCAACCUCAAAAAUCCCAAUUUUAAAUUGAGUUGUUUGAAAUAGCACAAUUUCCAAAUUACAGGCAGGUUAGAAUAUAGGAAAACCACAUCGAUCAUUGAAUUUGCCUCGGGGACCCUAGGGAGGAGGGGCCGUGUCCUGGGCAGGGGCCCGGUGCUGCUGGCCGAGCCCUGAAGGCUGACAAGCGUGAGCUGUGCACUUACCAUCAAGUCUUAUCCAUAUCUCCAUGUCUUGGGAGCUGUAAUGAAGUGUCAACGGG